UUGCUUUAGCAGCACAUAUACUAAGAAUGGAAGGAUACACAGAUUAGCAUGGCUCCAGUAAAAGGAUGAUACACUUUUUAAGUUGAACCUCUAAACAGUGGU